rnacentral:tRNA from 1 species
CGGGCUGUGGUGUAAUAGUAGCACGAGUCCUUCGGGAGGAUUUAGUUCCGGUGCAAAUCCGGACAGCCCGA